UUUACCAUGGGCUUCAUUGCAGUACUGAUUGUUGUCUGUUGUUGUUUGUUUUCGCUCUAUGAUAUUUUUGCAUUAGCAGUGCCAUCUGACGAAGAGGCAAGUCAAUAUCAACCCAGGCUUCUGGGAGACCUACUUCCUCAGAUUUCACUGCAGAUUGGUGGGCGAGAAACCGAAUAAAAUGGCUAUUAUUAUAGAACAAAUGUAGAAUAUUUUAAAUAUAUGUUUGACUUUUA